rnacentral:siRNA from 1 species
UGAAUGAAUCAGGAUUUAUCCUA